GCGGGCAUAGUUUAGUUGGUAGAACGUCAGCUUCCCAAGCUGAAGGUCACGGGUUCAAGUCCCGUUGCCCGCUCCA
rnacentral:tRNA from 1 species